rnacentral:lncRNA from 1 species
GUUUGAGUGGCCAGGUCAUCCUGCAGCUAACUUUGUUUGGCAAGCCCUGCAGACAGCUUACUCAGCCUGUCCUGCACCUAACACAACCCAUCCUGAGAAAGUGUCUACUAGAACUAGUAGGUAUUUAAGUUUGCAGACAGGUGGUAUGUUGGUAAAAAUCUAGCUGCCAGACGGCAGCUGGAGUGUGGCCCCAUGCUUGAUGUGUGGGGAACGUUCCUGGUUUUAAAGGGGUUUGAGGAUUUGUUCUUUUACAGAUGGAGCAAUUAGAGGUUAGCUGUUGCAGAAAGUAAAUAUCCUUGGGGCUGAGUGUGAGAAAUGAGCUUGUAAAAGCUUUGAGGCUUUGGGAGUUAGUGUGAAAGACGGAGUGGAGAUAGGAGAGUGGAGAUAUCGGAUUGACACUGGGGAUUUGGGUUGGGGUAUAACGGGUGCUAGGGUACAAUAUGGGGCAAGGGCUGCUAGUUGGGCUUCCUGAUCAGCCCUUGAAUUGCCUCUUGUGACAGGUGAAGAGUCAUGUUGGUGUGAGCGACAGUGUGUGAUCCCGAUUUUAGUGGGAAGGAAUGAGGCUCCAAGGAGAUCAGUGAUGAGCUUAGCAUUGGUGACUGCGGAGCCCCUAGUUGUAAGGAGUCCUCUCUCUUGCCAUAUGGCAGAAUGGGAGAGGAUUAUGUGAUAAACAUAUUUAGAGUCUGUGUAUAAAUUUAGGGAAUGGGCAGCUGCCAGGUGAUGCCCUAGUGAUGGCUGUUAAUUCAGCUUGCUGGUUGGUGGUGUGAAGAGGUAGGGAUUUUGCCACUAUUGUAGAAAAUUUUGUGCUGAGUGGGUCAGUCAGGGAGAUAACAGAGUAUCCUGCAUACUGAUGACCAUCUAGUGUGAAGGCGCUGCCGUCAGUAAACCAAGUGUAAGUGGCAUCAAGCAAAGGCCCUUCAUGGAUAUGAGUGGGGCAGAGCAUGGGAGGGAGGUGUUUCAGUUUUGGAAAGAAGUUUUGCCGCAGUCUGGCUGGGCACAAUCAGGAGCCACUUGUCAAAAGAAACUAACUUUAUUUUUAGAACCACACACGCCAAACAAAACAGCCUCUCAGGAAAAACCCUCAGAGCCUCAACUGCCACCACCGGCUUUCCACAAGCCUCUCUCUCCCCCCUAAGCUUCUCUCCACCUCCCACAAUCCUCCUGCUCUUGAGGCCGAUUGGCUGGGUCACGUGGGCGGAGCCAAAAAAGUCCCCCAAUGAGCAGCUCCGUGGUCUGAAAGGGCAGGGACACAGCCCAAU